AUGAAGAGCUCCCAAACUUUUGAGGAACAAACGGAAUGCAUUGUGAACACUCUACUCAUGGACUUCUUGAGCCCAACAUUGCGGGUUGCCAACCGGAACCUAUGCUGUGAAGAUGAAGUAGAUUCAGGAGAGCCUUGUUCUUUUGAUGUGGCUAUCAUUGCUGGUCGCCUUCGGAUGUUGGGUGACCAGUUCAACGGAGAAUUGGAAGCUUCUGCCAAAAACGUCAUUGCAGAAACCAUUAAGGGACAGGCAGGAGCUAUACUCCAGAACACAGUGGAAUCUCUCAGCAAGACCUGGUGUGCUCAGGAUUCCAGCUUAGCUUAUGAGAGAGCUUUUCUGGCAGUGUCAGUGAAACUUCUUGAGUAUAUGGCUCACAUUGCUCCUGAAGUAGUGGGACAGGUGGCUAUCCCCAUGACGGGUAUGAUCAAUGGGAACCAAGCCAUCCGGGAGUUCAUCCAGGGCGAGGGAGGUUGGGUAAGUGUG
rnacentral:sRNA from 1 species